rnacentral:rRNA from 1 species
AACGAACGCUGGCGGCGUGGAUAAGACAUGCAAGUCGAACGGGAUCAUCAGAGUAGCAAUACAGAGUGGCAGACGGGUGAGUAACGCGUGGGAACCUUCCCAAUGGUACGGAAUAGCUCAGGGAAACUUGGGCUAAUACCGGAUAAGCCCUUACGGGGAAAGAUUUAUCGCCGAAGGAUCGGCCCGCGUCUGAUUAGCUAGUUGGUGGGGUAACGGCCCACCAAGGCGACGAUCAGUAGCUGGUCUGAGAGGAUGAUCAGCCUCACUGGGACUGAGACACGGCCCAGACUCCUACGGGGGCAGCAGUGGGGAAUAUUGGACAAUGGGCGCAAGCCUGAUCCAGCAAUGCCGCGUGAGUGAUGAAGGCCUUAGGGUUGUAAAGCUCUUUCGCACGCGACGAUGAUGACGGUAGCGUGAGAAGAAGCCCCGGCUAACUUCGUGCCAGCAGCCGCAGUAACAC